rnacentral:sRNA from 1 species
GAUCCAGGUCUCCGGGGUCCGCUUUGGCCAGAGGCGCAGAAGGAAGCAGUGCCCGGCGACGCUGCACCCAUCCCGGCUGCUUUUGCUGCGCCCUCUCAGCUUCCCAAGAAAGGCAUCGUCAUGUGAUCAUCACCUAAGAACUAGAACAUUAGCAGGCCCUAGAAGCCUCACUCUUGCCCCUCCCUUUAAUAUCUCAAAGGAUGACACUUCUGUGGUGUGUAGUGAGUCUCUACUUUUAUGGAAUCCUGCAAAGUGAUGCCUCAGGUAAGUGAAUGGCUUUUGACAAUGUAUUAAAAUGCAAGUCAUGUGUAGGGUAAUGAGUCCACUCUUCCUGAGAAUGAAUUUAAAUAAACAUAAUGUUAUUCAUGUCCAUUGUCUUCUGCGGUAGCAAAUAAUCAUAAAGCAGAAUAAUAGAAUUUUGAUGAUGG